UUGUUUGUAGGUGCAGCACCAUCAAGAUUCACAUACAUCUCCUAAUUUUAUAUCAAUUAGGGUUUUGAUAUGUAUAUGAGAAUCUUGAUGAUGCUGCAUCGACAACCGC
rfam:Eutrema salsugineum unplaced genomic scaffold scaffold_2, whole genome shotgun sequence.